GUGCACGCUGGCGGUAGGCCUAACCCCUGCAAGUCGCACGGCAGCACAGUAAGAGCUUGCUCUUACGGGUGGCGAGUGGCGGACGGGUGAGGAAUACAUCGGAAUCUACUUUUUCGUGGGGGAUAACGUAGGGAAACUUACGCUAAUACCGCAUACGACCUACGGGCGAAAGCAGGGGAUCUUCGGACCUUGCGCGAUUGAAUGAGCCGAUGUCGGAUUAGCUAGUUGGCGGGGUAAAGGCCCACCAAGGCGACGAUCCGUAGCUGGUCUGAGAGGAUGAUCAGCCACACUGGAACUGAGACACGGUCCAGACUCCUACGGGAGGCAGCAGUGGGGAAUAUUGGACAAUGGGCGCAAGCCUGAUCCAGCCAUACCGCGUGGGUGAAGAAGGCCUUCGGGUUGUAAAGCCCUUUUGUUGGGAAAGAAAAGCAGCAGGUUAAUACCCCGCUGUUCUGACGGUACCCAAAGAAUAAGCACCGGCUAACUUCGUG
rnacentral:rRNA from 1 species